rnacentral:rRNA from 2 species
AUCAGGUAGGACUACCCGCUGAACUUAA